ACUGCGACUACCAUUUCGUUCUUUUCAUAUUGGUUGGUUGAAGUAAAUACGUGCGGAUAAAUUUAAUCCGUAGUAAUCGAGGAAUAACUAGAGUUUUCUAGAUUCCUCAUCAUCAAAUAUGAGAGCUAAGUGGCGUAAGAAGCGUAUGCGAAGGCUAAAGCGUAAAAGGAGGAAGAUGCGUGCGAGGUCUAAGUAAACUGGAUCUCAGUAUUCUCUGCUUGAUUGAUCAUCACCACCACCGAUGACCACGCACUUGGAAUUAUACAAUUUUUGAAAAUAAAAAAAACAAAUUUUAUAAAUUUUUUGUAUUUUUAAACAUCAUUCAUGCAGAGGAUAUACUUUCCAUAAUUUUAUCUUCAAUAAAAACAUUUAUUAAAGAUAAAUUUUA